GUCGGCUCUCGCGGUUCUUUGCUUGGGAAAGGUCUUGAUACGCUGCUACCUGUCUCCUUCCAGCUCCGCAUUCGGUGACGUCACAUGGGUUCUGCACACAAGCCAUGCAAUUCUGUGCUCCACCCUUGAGACAUGUCAUGUCACGUCACAGGACAGUUUCUUUGCAAGAUCAUCUGGCUUCGAAUAAAAUAAACUCGUCGUUAACAUUAUGGCUUCUGAGUUCUGGAAACUAAAGGCUUUCAGCAACCUGAGGAGUAUUUAUUCAAGAAAAAGAGCAGAAUCUUGGUAAGAACAAUCAGUUUUGUGGCAUUUUCACAUUCCUUUUCUGAUUCUUUCCCUCCCAAGCCCCAAACUGGCCUUGAAAACUAACAGUCCACAAUCUCAAUCUGGCAGCCAGUAGAGGGGGCAUAGUGGGGUUGGAGCUCCUUAAAAGCCCAUUCCCAGAAAAUUCGUUGUUAUUUGACCUGACUGGUGAUCCUCUGUAAGAUCCCACUUACAGGCUGUCUUUAUUUGACCAGACUCAGAGCUCGCCCAGUGUAAAACAGCCUUUUCCCAGGGGUGUUGUUGGAAAUAGUCAUUAGCAAUUGUUUAACAUUGCACAUGGAAAAUUCUCAAGCAUACACCAUAAGUUAGGCAAUGAAAUGAGUUUCAA